rnacentral:lncRNA from 1 species
UCUAGCUCCUCCCACCAGCCUCCACUGGCAGGUGUGUGUGUGUGUGUGCUAACGUUCUUACGUGUGUGUGUGUGGGGGCAGUUCAGUGUGCUUGCAGGUUAAUAUGCGCAUGUGCCUCUACUGUACAUGUGUCUAUUAAAGCAGAGUCAGUACUCAGAGAGAGACAGAGACAGACAGAGAGACAGAGAGAUAGACAGACAGACAGACAGACAGACAGACAGACAGACAGACAGACAGACAGACAGACAGACAGACAGACAGACAGACAGACAGACAGACAGACAGACAGACAGACAGACAGACAGACAGAGAGACAGAGAGACAGACAGACAGACAGACAGACAGACAGACAGACAGACAGACAGACAGACAGACAGACAGAGAGACAGACAGACAGACAGACAGACACCAUGUCUCCCUCCCAGUCCUCCCUACUGCUGCUGCUGAUGGUCUCCUGCUCCUGGGCCUCCCACUUCUUAGGAGGAACCAUGACCUUCAACCCCAGAGGGACCAACCCAGAUGGGACCUACAGGGUGGACCUUCGUUACAAGACAGCCUUCCACUAUUCCAUCUGUCUUUCUGAUACCUGGUGGUGUGUCAGUGGGGACUGUGGGAAUGAGACCAGUCUAGUGGUUAAGGGAGUGGACCAGGGGAUAUCUGAGGACUGGUGUCAGACAGAAGGAGUCAUGACUAGACACGUCUCCAUUAACACACAGACUUUUGAUCUGCGAUUGGAUAGCUGUUGCUGGAUAGACAAUGAUAAUGAUGUUUAUUUUUGGAGGCUGUUGACUCAUGUGGAUCUUGGGGUCAGGUCUGACACGGGGACAGUCAACCGAUCUCCACAGACCACUGUCAUACCUCUGAUGAGUGUCCCUGCUAAUUGUCAAAGAGAUUUCAACCUGUUGCUGUUUGAUCCAGAUGGGGAUAUGGUCAGAUGCAGAUACGCAGUACCAACGGAUGAGUGUUACACAUCAAGUGACCUUCCUAAUGACUUCACUCUACGAGAGAACUGCACCUUGUCAUUUUGGGGCAACAGUAAUACCACUGGAACAUAUGUAGUUCAGAUGGUGAUGGAGGAUUUCCCGACUCAGUCCAUCUCUCUCUCCUAUACUGACGGAUCUCAAUCUAACAGGACCUCAAACAAUACACUCUGCAAACUGCCUGUUCAGUUUGCAGUGAGAGUGGACCCCCCGGUGACAUCCUGUAUGGAGGGGCUGUACCUACCCAUGUUCCUGUCUCCAACACCAGCCCAGGGUGCACUGCUGUACGCCUCUGCAGACCAACCCCUGGAAAUCACUGUCAGAGCACAGGCUACCAACUCCACGGUUUCAGAGCUGUUGGUGAGUGGACCUUCCGGUAUCACAGAGAACACCACUGAUCCAGGAGAGUACCUUCUAAGAUGGACGCCCACUGAGGAUGAGGAGGGAGGGUACUAUCCUGUGUGCUUCAUCGCUCAGGGAGUGAACGACAGUUCCACGUACCACUCUGAGCUGCGCUGUGUGAUCGUCAGGGUUGGAAACACAAGCGGAGACGUUGUUGUACUGAGGACAAAAGUGUCCGCUCUGAUCCCACUGACAGAUAAUUACAUCAGAAACAUGGUGUUUCAGCAGCUCCGUGAGGAACUGAUCAGACUAGGGCUGCCAGGGGACUUCACGCUACGCCUGUUAGCCACUCAUGACAUCAGUCCCUGAGGGAGGAACAGGAAAUCAGCUCGACUUUCUUCACUUCUACUUGUCUUUUCUUCCUGGUUCUGAUUCUGCAGAUAGUUCUUUUGAAGAAGGAGUGAUUCCUUAUAAUGACAGAAUACGGUUGAUUUGUAAUAAUCUCCUGUGGGUUGCCAAGAUUAGUUGAAUUAACUGACACUACGUCUUACUGGAUGUUAGUUGAAUGAUUUAAAAGUAAAUGAUUUAUGUCUACAAGAAGAAAUGCAACAUAAAUAUGAUUGGUAAUGUACAGAGGUAGACUGAGGUUCUUUCCUGUUUGGUAAUGUACAGAGGUAGACUGAGGUUCUUUCCUGUUUGGUAAUGUACAGAGGUAGACUGAGGUUCUUUCCUGUUUGGUAAUGUACAGAGGUAGACUGAGGUUCUUUCCUGUUUGGUAAUGUACAGAGGUAGACUGAGGUUCUUUCCUGUUUGGUAAUGUACAGAGGUAGACUGAGGUUCUUUCCUGUUUGGUAAUGUACAGAGGUAGACUGAGGUUCUUUCCUGUUUGGUAAUGUACAGAGGUAGACUGAGGUUCUUUCCUGUUUGGUAAUGUACAGAGGUAGACUGAGGUUCUUUCCUGUUUGGUAAUGUACAAAGGUAGACUGAGGUUCUUUCCUGUAGACAGGUUAUUAAACAUUGGGAGAUAUAAUGUUGUUUUCCUUAAGGUGUGAAUCAUAUAGACUGUGUUUGAUUAGGCUUAGAGGACAAGGCCUUAGGAGGUUGAUAAUGAGACGUUAUAAUGGUAAAAUGUUAUAAUGUUGAAAUGUUUAAAAUAUUGAUGUAUUGAGAUAUAACUUGAGUAAUAAAUUAGGUUGUAGAAAGACUAUAAUUUAGUUAAAGGUAGGAGGGUGAAGGGAAUAGGAAAGUUUCAUGUUUGAAAAAUGUAUGUUUUAAGAAGUUGAUGUUCAUGAAGUAUAUUAAGGGUGCUAGCUUGAUCUGGAAAUCCCCAGGUCAGAGCAGCAAGUAGGUUGAAGCGUACGUUCUGCCUAGGUGGGAAAACGUGGAGGUUAGUGGGGGCUGAAAAAGCACCUUUUGAGAAGAUGGAUGCAUUCAUUAGGUGUUAACCACCGAAGGCAUCAGUGGAGCAGGUGGUCAUCCUGAUGAUUUAUCAGAAGAGGCAUUAAGGGUAUAAAGGAAGCAGGUUUCAUGGGAAGGGAAUGACUCUCUUUGAGUUUGCUAGAAGAACCUGUCGUCUGCUGGAGAAAGACUUUUACUGAAGCUUUUUAACUUCAGAUUCAUUUAGAUUUUUAAUAUACUUGGUUUUUUAUUCUGAAAGUGUUCUAGUACAUUCUAGGAGGAACCCUGAAUGUUACCUCAUUGAUAGGAGUGUUCUAGUACAUUCUAGGAGGAACCCUAAAGGUUACCUCAUUGAUAGGAGUGUUCUAGUACAUUUUAGGAGGAACCCUGAAGGUUACCUCAUUGAUAGAAGUGUUCUAGUACAUUUUAGGAGGAACCCUGAAGGUUACCUCACUGAUAGGAGUGUUCUAGUACAUUCUAGGAGGAACCCUGAAGGUUACCUCAUUGAUAGGAGUGUUCUAGUACAUUCUAGGAGGAACCCUAAAGGUUACCUCAUUGAUAGGAGUGUUCUAGUACAUUCUAGGAGGAACCCUGAAGGUUACCUCAUUGAUAGGAGUGUUCUAGUACAUUCUAGGAGGAGCCCUAAAGGUUACCUCACUGAUAGGAGUGUUCUAGUACAUUCUAGGAGGAACCCUGAAGGUUACCUCACUGAUAGGAGUGUUCUAGUACAUUCUAGGAGGAGCCCUAAAGGUUACCUCACUGAUAGGAGUGUUCUAGUACAUUCUAGGAGGAACCCUAAAGGUUACCUCACUGAUAGGAGUGUUCUAGUACAUUCUAGGAGGAACCCUAAAGGUUACCUCAUUGAUAGAAGUGUUCUAGUACAUUCUAGGAGGAACCCUAAAGGUUACCUCAUUGAUAGGAAUGUUCUAGUACAUUCUAGGAGGAACCCUAAAGGUUACCUCACUGAUAGGAGUGUUCUAGUAGCUGUUAGUUUUUUAGACACCAACUGAGGGACUGAGAAACCUGAAGGGGGAGACAAAAAUCUGUUUAUAAUUUGUAGAAGGUAAGAACUUGUUUUUCUUGUUAUUGAACACUGUGCUUCUCAUAAAAUUGUUAUAGACCAAACAUAUUUUAUUGACACACACUAAUAAGGGUUUAGAUAAGGGUUUAGUUAUGGGCGCUGAAGGCAUCUCUCAAUUUAAUCCAAGUUAUAUUUUUGCUUAUCAUCGAUUGGGGAUAUUGAUUUAUGAUUGAUUGAUUGAUCUGUGAUUUUUAAUGCCUGUUUCUGGAAUUUUGAAUAAACUUGUUUUAUUGUUCUGAAACUCGGUGUCAUCAAAGAGUCAUAGGAGUGCAUGUCGUUUUACUCCUGGUUUCUGAAACACACUGGAUUAAUUGAGGAUUUAUAGCAUCUGGUUAAUUAGUCCAUCGGGAACCUGAAUUGCUGGUAUGAAGGAACCUGAGACCCAACUAAAGGUACUGAGUGCAUUGGUAGGAGUCAUAUGAGGGGUGAUUCUGGAC